CUACGGGGGGCUGCAGUGAGGAAUAUUGCACAAUGGGGGGAACCCUGAUGCAGCAACGCCGCGUGGAGGAUGACGCAUUUCGGUGUGUAAACUCCUUUUAUAUGUCAAGAAAAUGACGGAAGCAUAUGAAUAAGCACCGGCUAACUCCGUGCCAGCAGCCGCGGUAAUACGGAGGGUGCAAGCGUUGUUCGGAUUUACUGGGCGUAAAGCGCACGUAGGCGGCGCAAUUAGUCAGGGGUGAAAGGCCUGGGCUCAACCUGGGAACUGCCUUUGAUACUGUUGUGCUGGAGUCCGGGAGGGGGUGGCGGAAUUCCCAGUGUAGAGGUGAAAUUCGUAGAUAUCACUAGGAAUACCUAAAGCGAAGGCGAUCUCCUGGAACAUUACUGGCGCUAAGGCGUGAAAGCGUGGGGAGCAAACAGGAUUAGAUACCCUGGUAGUC
rnacentral:rRNA from 1 species